ACACGACUCUCGGCAACGGAUAUCUCGGCUCUCGCAUCGAUGAAGAACGUAGCAAAAUGCGAUACCUGGUGUGGAUUGCAGAAUCCCGCGAACCAUCGAGUCUUUGAACGCAAGUUGCGCCCGAAGCCAUUCGGCMGAGGGCACGCCUGCCUGGGCGUCACGC
rnacentral:rRNA from 1 species